rnacentral:rRNA from 1 species
UACGGGGGGGGCAAGCGUUGUUCGGAAUUACUGGGCGUAAAGGGUUUGUAGGUGGCUCGCUAAGUCAGACGUGAAAUCCCUCAGCUUAACUGGGGAACUGCGUCUGAGACUGGCAAGCUUGAGUGCAGGAGAGGAACGCGGAAUUCCAGGUGUAGCGGUGAAAUGCGUAGAUAUCGAGAGGAACACCAGUGGCGAAGGCGAGUCCCUGGACAACACCUGACAUUGAGGCACGAAAGCUAGGGGAGCAAACGGG